CCUUGGAGUACACACUCAGAGUGUGAGUGUUCGGUAAAUAAAUUUACCGAAACAGAUCUGUAAUUUUCAGAAACAUCGAAUUUUCGGUAAUCGAUUAUUUUUUGACAGCUCACCAGAGAUAAAAUUACCUAUCUCCGGUGAUCUGUCGCUGAACUGUCAAAACAAUUACAGAACCGUCUGUGAAUCGACAGUAUUACCGAGAACGGUAAAAUGUUUAACUGAAGUUUCGGUAAUCCAUGCAUUAGAUUACCGAAAUCAGUAAUUCGUCUGAAUGACAGCGUCAAGUUAUAUUUGGGUUUUUUUGUCGUUGCAAUCAAAUUGCUGGUGGACUGUAUGUUGUGUCGAUCUGUGCCGCAAGUUAUCUCGAUAGAAACUAUGUUCUGGAGAUUUUCUUAACGUGGGAAUAUAUUAGAGGUCACUGCUCUACCGCAAUUUUCCCGCUGCCCUGCACGAGUCUCAGCUGCAUUGAAUAGCUAAUGUAUUAUGGAUUGAUUUCUGCUGCUAGAUCCUUCAUGUCUGAUUCUUGUGUUCCGAUGCUACUUUGUUCAUAUGCAUAGUAUUAUAAGAUGAAAUAAAAGUGAACCGUUGGUGAGAAACGUUGUAUUUUUUUUCAAACAAGAAAGUGGUAUUUCGGGGGGAGAAAACUAGCACCGUAACUACAGGUCUUCGGUAAACGUUUACCGAAGAGUCGGUUGUUUUGACAGAUGAGCUUUAAAAUGCAAAUUACCGAAUGGUCGGUAGUCGGCUCGUUUACCGAAACGAUUACCGAUCGUUCAGCUGUUGAGAUUUCGGUAAUGAGAUUACCGAAUUCGGUGAUUUGAUCUAAGUGUGUA